CGCUGGCGGCGUGCCUAAUACAUGCAAGUCGAACGGUCUUUCUAUGGAAGUUUGCUUCCACUGAGAAGAUAGUGGCGAACGGGUGAGUAACACGUGGGUAACCUGCCCAUAAGAGGGGGAUAACAUCCGGAAACGGGUGCUAAUACCGCAUAGUUUUCUUGAUCGCAUGAUCGGGAAAGGAAAGACGGCCUUUGUGCUGUCGCUUAUGGAUGGACCCGCGGCGUAUUAGUUAGUUGGUGAGGUAAUGGCUCACCAAGACGAUGAUACGUAGCCGACUUGAGAGGGUGAUCGGCCACAUUGGGACUGAGACACGGCCCAAACUCCUACGGGAGGCAGCAGUAGGGAAUCUUCCGCAAUGGACGAAAGUCUGACGGAGCAACGCCGCGUGAGUGAAAGAAGGUUUUCGGAUCGUAAAACUCUGUUGUCAGAGAAGAACAAGUUGGAGAGUAACUGCUCCAGCCUUGACGGUAUCUGACCAGAAAGCCACGGCUAACUACGUGCCAGCCGCCGC
rnacentral:rRNA from 1 species